UCCCAACUUACAGUGUGGAUUUUCUAAGAAUCUGAUGCAAAGUGGACAGUUUGGGAGUGAAAGUUAUUGGACAACUGGGUCCUGUAAGGCAGACCUAAUAUGGGGGGUUUUGUCCAAAUUAAUCUAAUAAUCAUAGAAUGGUUUGGGUUGGAAGGGACCUUUAAGAUCAUCUAGUUCCAACCCCCUGCUAUAGGUAGGGACACCUCCCUCUAGACCAGGUUGCUCACAGCCCCAUCCAGCCUGGCCUUGAGUGCUUCCAGCCUGGUGGCAUCCGUGACCUCUCUGGGCAAGCUGUUCCAGAGUCUCAGCACCCCCACAAUAAGAAUUUCUUCCUAAUAUCUAGUCUAAAUUGAUGCUCUUCCAGUUUAAAGCCAUUUCCCCUCAUCCUGUCGCUAAUAAUGUUAAAUGUCAUUUAUGUACAUCUGGAAUGAGACCCAAGCAGUGCGCAGGGAGCACACGGCAGGGACACGGCGCCGGGUCUGUGAGUGUCCAGCCAUUUGGACUCAAACCCAACGGACUCCCAUGGAGAGGAGCUUCCUCCUCUGCACAACAGUUCCUCCCUCUUCCACCCCAUAAGGCACUGGGAUCCAGAGAGAUGGAUCAAUCUUACCCCGGAGCCACAGGUCUCCUCUUGCAUGGAUGAAUGAGAGCCCACACUGAAACUUGAAAUAUUUUCAAGACCAAUCAUCUGCGUAUUAACAUCCAACACGUGCAGGCAACAGACCAACGAUUCUUCUUCUGAGGAAGCUGGCAUGUCAAAAUCUGGCUGUUUCCCUCAAAUAAGCAAGGAAGGGACACGUGGCUCCAAGGGGCACCCAGCACCGGGUCAGGCUCACUGCAUCUCCAUCACAUCCACCACCAGCACAGCGCAGGUUUCCCUCCUUGCUGAGACUCAGGAUGGAGAUUUGCACACAAAGGAAUCCUUCGUUUUUCGUUUCCAGCUGUUUCAAAUUUUCUGUGUACUUGGAAAAAGUAAAAUGAUUCUUUAGCACCGAGAAUAGCUGGCGAUAUUGAAUUUGGAGUGUGCAGGCGGGGAUUAGCUGAACGGAAAUGCAUGGUGGAUGUUUCACGGGUGUUUUACUCAUCCAGGGAGAGAAUAAAAAAUGUGGCACUCGUUAUUUUGUGGGAUAUUUAAUCCCUUCAACUAAUUUUGCGUGAAACGGGCUUUAGGUUCCACUCCCUCCUCUUUUUCUGGUUUUGUUUUUCAACUCUUCCCCACCUUCUUCUCUUCCCUCUUGGAAAAAGGAAUGAAAACAAGAAAUGAAAGAUUUCCCCUUCUCCAUCCUUUAACUUCUCUCAAUCCUCUCCCCUUUUCUUCAGGUGGGUCCCAGGUAACCUUUGACAUGUUUUCCAAUCUCAAGGCCAGCAUUAAGGCUCCUCAUUCCAUACUUCAGCACCAAAACCGUGAGCUGGCUUUAAAAAACGCUGAGCAUGCAGCAGCUCCCAAUAAAUUUCACACCCCAGCAGAAGUCCUGUUGUCGGGAACUGUUUUCAUCCCCGCAUUUGCAGGUUGCCUUCAUUACUUCCUUCCCUUGGGUCACAAAAAGGCUGUUAGUGACAUCUCCCAUUUACCAGGUGCGGCAGUAUAAAUUCAGGGUAACUCCACUGAACUUAAUGUGCUUAAUGUAGAUACUCGGAAUCCGCACUGCUGCAAAUGAGAUCAGAAUUUGUCCCGGCCACAGGAGCCAGAGGGAGGUCAAAUGCUUUACAUACAUUACCUCCUCUUCAGCAUGCUAAUGAUGUGCAAUUUCAAAUGCUUUUCCCCAGACGCUGCAGUUCCAGGAACGGCACUAAAAGCAUUAAAAGGAAGCACAGCAGACCCCGCCACCGAAUGCCCAAUGAAGCUACACACCUGAUUGAGGCAAACAGUAGGAAGGUGAGCUGGGAGGGGGGAAAUUCAGCAGUUCCCAAUAAAACAGUCACAAAUCCACCCUUGCUGAUGUCACUGCUCCCAUUCCUGGCUACCCAGAACACGCAGCACUGGCAGCAGUUACAAUCAACGCUGGCCAUGAGCAUCUGUUUAUGAGGGUGGAUAGUGAUAGGACAAUGGGGAAUGGUCUUAAACUGAGACAGGGGAGGUUUAGGUUGGAUAUGAGGAGGAAGUUUUUCACCCAGAGGGUGGUGACGCACUGAACAGGUUGCCCAAGGAGGCUGUGGGUGCCCCAUCCCUGCAGGCAUUCAAGGCCAGGCUGGAUGUGGCUCUGGGCAGCCUGGUCUGCUGGUUGGCGAC
ensembl:lncRNA